rnacentral:rRNA from 1 species
CCUACGGGAGACAGCAGUGAGGAAUAUUGGUCAAUGGACGAGAGUCUGAACCAGCCAAGUAGCGUGAAGGAUGACUGCCCUAUGGGUUGUAAACUUCUUUUAUAUGGGAAUAAAACGUUCCACGUGUGGGAUUUUGUAUGUACCAUAUGAAUAAGGAUCGGCUAACUCCGUGCCAGCAGCCGCGGUAAUACGGAGGAUCCGAGCGUUAUCCGGAUUUAUUGGGUUUAAGGGGAGCGUAGGUGGAUUGUUAAGUCAGUUGUGAAAGUUUGCGGCUCAACCGUAAAAUUGCAGUUGAAACUGGCAGUCUUGAGUACAGUAGAGGUGGGCGGAAUUCGUGGUGUAGCGGUGAAAUGCUUAGAUAUCACGAAGAACUCCGAUUGCGAAGGCAGUUCACUGGACUGCAACUGACACUGAGGCUCGAAAGUGUGGGUAUCAAACAGGAUUAGAUACCCUUGUAGUC